GCUCAGAGAGGGGUCAAUGUCCUAUCAGCUAGUUGGUAGGGUAAAGGCCUACCAAGGCGAAGACGGGUAGCCGGCCUGAGAGGGUGGUCGGCCACAUUGGGACUGAGACACUGCCCAGACUCCUACGGGAGGCUGCAGUCGAGAAUCUUUCGCAAUGCCCGAAAGGGUGACGAAGCGACGCCGCGUGUGGGAAGAAGGCCUUCGGGUUGUAAACCACUGUCGGGAGUUAAGAAGUGUAAGGGUGUUAAGAGCGUCCUUGCUUGACGUUAGCUCCGGAGGAAGCCACGGCUAACUCUGUGCCAGCAGCCGCGGUAAUACAGAGGUGGCAAGCGUUGUUCGGAAUUAUUGGGCGUAAAGAGCACGUAGGCGGCCCUGCAAGUCAGCUGUGAAAUCCUUCUGCUCAACGGAAGAACGGCAGUUGAUACUACAGGGCUCGAGUGCGGGAGGG
rnacentral:rRNA from 1 species